rnacentral:rRNA from 1 species
AUUGAACGCUGGCGGCAGGCCUAACACAUGCAAGUCGAGCGAGCGGCGGACGGGUGAGUAAUGUCUGGGAAACUGCCUGAUGGAGGGGGAUAACUACUGGAAACGGUAGCUAAUACCGCAUACCAUCAGCUUUGCCCAGAUGGGAUUAGCUAGUGGGUGGGGUAAUGGCUCACCUAGGCGACGAUCCCUAGCUGGUCUGAGAGGAUGACCAGCCACACGGGAACGGAGACAGGGUCCAGACUCCUACGGGAGGACGCGGUGGGGAAUAUUGCACAAUGGGCGCAAUCCUGAUGCAGCCAUGCCGCGUGGAUGAAGAAGGCCUUCGGGUUGUAAAGUACUUUCAGCGAGGAGGCGUUACUCGCAGAAGAAGCACCGGCUAACUCCGUGCCAGCAGCCGCGGUAAUAC